rnacentral:rRNA from 1 species
UGCCAGCCGCCGCGGUAAUACGGAGGGUGCAAGCGUUAAUCGGAAUUACUGGGCGUAAAGCGCGCGUAGGCGGUUUGUUAAGUCAGCUGUGAAAGCCCUGGGCUCAACCUGGGAACUGCAGUUGAUACUGGCCGACUAGAGUACGAGAGAGGGAGGUAGAAUUCCACGUGUAGCGGUGAAAUGCGUAGAUAUGUGGAGGAAUACCGGUGGCGAAGGCGGCCUCCUGGCUCGAUACUGACGCUGAGGUGCGAAAGCGUGGGGAGCAAACAGGAUUAGAUA